rnacentral:rRNA from 1 species
AGCGAACGCUGGCGGCAGGCCUAACACAUGCAAGUCGAACGAACUCUUCGGAGUUAGUGGCGGACGGGUGAGUAACACGUGGGAACGUGCCUUUAGGUUCGGAAUAACUCAGGGAAACUUGGGCUAAUACCGAAUGUGCCCUUCGGGGGAAAGAUUUAUCGCCUUUAGAGCGGCCCGCGUCUGCUUAGCUAGUUGGUGAGGUAACGGCUCACCAAGGCGACGAUCAGUAGCUGGUCUGAGAGGAUGACCAGCCACACUGGGACUGAGACACGGCCCAGACUCCUACGGGAGGCAGCAGUGGGGAAUCUUGCGCAAUGGGCGAAAGCCUGACGCAGCCAUGCCGCGUGAAUGAUGAAGGUCUUAGGAUUGUAAAAUUCUUUCACCGGGGACGAUAAUGACGGUACCCGGAGAAGAAGCCCCGGCUAACUUCGUGCCAGCCGCCGCAGUAAGAC